rfam:Camelus ferus unplaced genomic scaffold scaffold1244, whole genome shotgun sequence.
GAAGGUAUAGCUCAAGUGGUAGAGAGCAUGCUUAGCAUGCAUGAGGUCCUGGGUUCCAUCCCCAGUGCUCCCU